AGACAGGACUGAAGCUAGGCAGGCUGAGUGAGGCUUUUUAAAAAUUUAGGCAACAAUGAAGAAAAUAUCUAAUUAAAAAUGCCUAAAAAAAUUUGAGGCAACAUCUUUGUAAUGUUCUAAAAUACUCGAAUAAUAGAUUGUAUCAAGUGUGCCCAAAUAUAAAAGUGAAAACUGUAUUCCAGAGUCAAGUGUAACUUACUUCUGAAUUCUGUGUACUGUUGGUUACUUAAAAACAAAAAGAAAAAGAAAAGUUGUUACCCAGGUAGACAGGUUUCCUGUAGAGAAGAUUGGUGUGAGUUGUUGGGUUGGUUAUCCAGGGCAGUCUCUGCUUCAUUCUGGAAACUAAAUCAAAACACCUAAGGGAGAUGUUUUGAUUUCAUUUCUGGACAGUUUGUGCCAAAUUAACCUUUUGUUUUCUUUGAAAAAAAGCUAGAGUUUUUCAGUCUUGUCACCCAAUUUUCAUAAUGGCCUUCAUUCUUUGAAAUAAAAAUCUAUCUCUAAAGAAAGAAAAGAUCAUGACUGAGAGUUUUGAUUUGUUAGCCAGGCCUGCAGAUGUCUGUGCCGGGCCUGUUCUCUGAGCCGUCGGCACUCUCUGAGUGUCCUAGAGGCUGUCUCACCUUGAGAACCUGCUGUCCCAGUGUCAGAGCAGGAAGAUGGACCUGGAAAGCAGUGUUGUUCCUGAUGUAGUAAUACCAUCUUUUUAGCUCCUUAAUUGCAUUUGUGUAGUAUUUUUGAAUUCUGGUUUAGAGAAGUACUUUGUAGUUGCGGGAUGAAGUAAAUAACUUAUCCUAGUUGUUACAUAGCCCCGAUGCCCAGAGUCACCCAAGUGUCUGAGUUUUUUGUUUGUUUUUCCCAAAGAACACUUGCAUCUUGGAACCAAAUGUCAUAAGUAAUUUUGAAGGGAUUUUUUUCUAUAUACCUUUUCUUGCUGUCAUUUGAAAAACAAUCUGUUGUAGUAAAAGUCUCUUAAGCCAGGGUACAAUACAGUAUUAGCUAGGAAAGAAAAUGAUUUUUAGCAAGCCAAAGAAUUCUGUUAAUGUUAUGUUGGGUUUACAGUGGGGUUUGGUCAUAUAGCCCAGGUUGGCGUUACAAUAUGCACCAUCAUGGUCAGCUGAGAAAUGGAGUUUAAUGCAGAUUUAAUAGUGAUCAUUAUUUUCAUGUUAAUAGUAAACACAUGAACAUUAAGUAUUUGGCCUAGACAGUUUAUAUUUGUCAUUAUAAGGAUUUGAGAUAUGUCAUUAUAAGGAUUUGAGAUAUUUUAGAGUUUGAUUUUUGUUUUUUGUUCGUUUGUUUUGGUUUGGGGAUAGGAGACAGGGACAUCAAAGCUGUAUAAUUUUAGAAAAAUUCUGUCCUCGCUAGCACCUUCUCCACCACUAUUUCCUCCUCAAGUAAUAUCACAUGCUACCAGCAAAAAUAUAGCUCUUAUUUUUAUCCCUUAAGGCAUAUUUAGUUAUCUGACAAUCUUUGGUUUUUAGAUUGGAGUUAGUUAAAUUAGGAUUGAGUAUUGAUUUUAUUUAGUAAUGUAGAACACAGGGCUUUUGCCCUUAGAUCUAGUGGUGGAUGGUGCUUCUCUUUUAGAAUAGCUAUUUAAAAUGGGUGGCCUCUGGCAGCAUGGGCAGUUUCACUUGGCCUUUUUCUUAACUACUAAUUUCUCUAAGUGGUGACUGUUGUUUGAUUGUCGGUGGAAACAGGUCCCUUAGGAGAGUAGCUACAGUCUUCAAGGUAAAGUUGUACCUGCUGUGUUCUUUACUACAAAUAAAUCGUCUUUACUAAACUCACUCUUCCAGCACUGCUUCUAACUUCAUGACAUUUACUAUUCUAUGUAGGAGCUUUGGUUUUGUGUUGUUACUGUUUUACUUUUGAUACUGAAUCUAGAAAGUCUAAGAUUGUACCUUUUCUUGUCCCUUUCCUGUGUCCAGAGUGGAAGUUGGCUAGGGCUUGGUUCCUAGGGCCAGCUAAGCACGCGCACUCUUCCCAAGCUGCACCGGGCCUGUCUGGCUGCUCAGAUGCUGCUGUAGUGUUAAGAUAUUUGAGUUAUAACCCCAGCGUGUGCCUGACUAACAGACAUGAGUUUAUCGACUAGCUUAUCAAAUAUUUAAAAGCCAAUUUAAAUAAUUUCAGAAUAACUCAUUUUAUUUGUAGUAUAUGUGUACACUCAUACAGUGUGUGUAGCAGCAAGUCUUGUAUAUAGUGAAGUGUUUCUGAUGUUGCUGGCAGAAAUAAAUUCCUGGACUUCUUCUGACAACUAUUACGGUCUGCUUAAUUUCUCUGCCCCCUUGCCAACACUAGAUAGUGAGGACUAAUAAAUACAUCCUGCUCUUGAUACAUUGUGUAAUUUUGUUUUUGAGUUUUGAACCUUUAACUUUCCAUAUCCUGCUGCAAUCACAAACGAAGGCCUGUGCUUAAAUGUUUCCUCCGGGCCUCUGUUAGUGCGCUUUCCUUUCAUUUGUUUCUUCUCUAAGUUGUAUGCUAUCUGUGGUAUUCAUUUUAAUUAGAAUAUAAUCCACUCUUACAUGAUUGAUGGAUGAAAAUAUUCUAAUUGGCUUGUUGUAAAGUAAUAAUUCAUUGAUAAACUCUAAACUUUGAGAUGUUAAGCUUGAAAUAGUACCUGAAAUUUUAACUUUUGAGGC
rnacentral:lncRNA from 1 species